GUUGCAUCUUGAGCAGUGACCUGCCAAGGGCAAAGGACCCUGCUCCCUGGACUCACAGAUUUUCUAAUGCUUGGGCAGGUGGUUACUGCAUGUUCCACAUCAGUCAAUGCAACUUAGGACAAAACUAACAGGAUACAUAAAACAGAGGUCAGGCUGCCGGGACCAGUGUAUUUCCGUUGCAGCCAGAUGGAUUUUUUUUGUUUGUUUUUUAUUUUGUUGAUUCUCAGAAGCAGAAAGCAUCACUUUAAAAGUUUGUUUGUUCAUGCAAACUCUAUUUGCAUUCUUACAUUAGUUAAGCUAAGCAGCAAAAAGGAAAAACACACACACUCACAUUUAGCCCAUGUCAUUUACUUGUCAGUUUCUUUGACAUAAUGCCGCAUCUUCUCCACAUGGGCUUCACGUGGUUUGGAGAUGGGUGGGGGAAAACAAUCAGGUUUCUUCAGGCUGAGGAGGACUUGCUCAGGCCGAUUCCAAACAUUGUGUUCGUUCAAUGCGUAGAAAUGAUUUGCAUGAUGGCAUGCCGUGAUCAGGAGUCAUGCAUGAGAACCAUACACCACAGGACACUACUAACCCUGUCCCCUGCACUGGGUCAGCCUUUGGACAGGACCCAGCCCUGCACCGUUCACUGUAUUUGGAGAAAAAAUGGUCUUGAGAUGGGCCACAGAGCUAUAAGAUCCCGCUCCGUCCUCCAAGUGCUCGUGCUAGUGAUGUCAUUAAGCUACUAGAGCAUAUUAAUGAGAUUUUUUGAGCUCUGACCUUUUUUCCUCCCCCAGGCCCUGCUCUCCCCACCCAGCAGGCUGUCUCCUCAGUGACACACACAGGCCUUGGUAUCUGACACCCAUCAGCCAGCUUCAUAGGGAAGAAGCCACCUCCACUCUAUUUGAAGUUUCACUUUUUUUGUUGUUUGUUUCUAAAAACUUUUCCCACCUUCUUUCUCCCCACCUGAUGGCCCUCCACCCACCCACUCGUUCACGCACUCUCGCACUCACCCGCCCUGCUCCACACUUCUUUGGUAGUAAGUGACACCAUCACCAGCAGUUUACACCCGCAGUUAACAGGCAUUGAACUGAAAGAGUCAUGAAGGCGUUCUCGCACGUCUUCACCCAGUGGAUAAGUGGCAACGCUUUGCCAAAUAUUAACAAAGCCAAUCAAAAAGCAGCAGCAGCCACAGUAUCACUGCACAUAUAUAUAUAUAGAUAUAUAAAUAUGAUAUAAAUAUUUAUUUUUUGUAGCCAGGUCCUUGGUGCAGUAUUUAUACUCCAGAAUCCACCUUUAAAAAAAGGACAAAAAGCAAAAAGACAUGUGUGAUGCUGUUAAUUUAAAACGCAGAGCCAAAGCCACCGAGCAGCAGCUGACAUGGUUGCUGGUUUGUGUGUGAAAAACACUUUCCCCUCUUCUUUUCUUUAACCUCCUCGUUGCUUAGGAUGAGGAGACUCCGUCAUUUAAAGCCGAGGGCGAGAGCAGGAGACACUUCCCAAGUCAGCUGCCUUGGACCCACCCCUCUGAAUGAGCCACUCUUGGCAUCAGAAGUUGACUGAGGAGAGAUUAACAGAAACUCCCGGUCAAAGCCCCUGGAACAGCGAUGCCCAGAGUUCUCUCAUUUUUUGCUGCAACCAACGUAAGCUUGUAAAAGACCAAUAGUAAAGACUAGUGUAUUAGUGGAUGCAUGGAGGCCAGCACUGCUCUAACCAAGACGUGAUGAAAAGUACAUCACUUCCAUAAGCCAAAAGGAAACAAUAAAAAUGACCCUUUUUACUGUACAAGGGAAGCCUGUCUUGGUGUGCGUUUGCUGCUUGACUCUCCCAAUAUUUUUUAUACCUGGGAAGUGGGACUUGAGCACAUUUGGGGAAAGGAGGGGAACGAAAGGGAGAGAAAUGGGGAUUUCUUGCAAAGUUCUGGCUAAAAAGCCAAGAUUGGAGAGAAAAGCAAAGUCCUGAUCUCCCCAGGUCCCCACUCACCCACUGCGUGUGGCUUUCCUCCCCCUGCUGGGCCGCUGCUUCCAGGCCCAUUGAUACCUGUUCCUCACCCCCGGCAGAGCCCCCAGAGAUGAUGCCAGCCAACCCAGCUGGACUGGCCUUACUCCUGCCUUUUUCACCAGUAUUUUAAGAAGACCAUUCCAACGCCCCAUAGCUCGGGCGAGCACAAUGCCCAACAGCCUCCACUCUGCUAGCUACUGCUGGGCCCUGCCCUCCAUCUCCCCCACCCACAAACCAGCAGACUCGGCUGGUCUCAUUGGCACCACCCCGCCCCGCUUUGGGGACACCCCUCUCUAGGCCACGUCUCCCAGUCCAGGAACACUCAGGAGGAUUUUGAAGUGCCCACUCUAGUCCGCUCCAGGAUCUCCGCUCUGGAGAGAGAUGGCUGGUAGGUCAGUCCCCAUCCUCCCCUCUUGGCCCCCAGCCUCCAGGCCUGCUGUGGAGGUUAGAUGGCCACGGUUGUGACUUAGUGACUGAGUCCUGGGCAUCUUCUGUAAUGAUGCCUCUUUCUUUUCUCAGAUGUUGCCCAAAGUUUUGCAAAAAGCUUCGUUCAUUUUCAGGUACCCCCACCCCCUAAAGAAUUGGCUGCAGCUAGCCAGCCAGGGGGGACAUCAGGAGAGAAGAGGGAGUCUGGGUGGGGAGGGGCCCAAGUUUUGCCAUCUGGGCUGUGGCUCAGCAUUGUGCUUUCUUGGAUUCCCCUUCCAAGAGCACCAAGAUUUCCUGUCAAAACGCUCCUGAGGCACCCCCUGCCCCUGCCCCCCACUGCUGUUUGCUGUACAUAGAGGCUAAGUGGGGUGGGGUGGGCGGGUGUGCACGUGUGGUGUGUGUGUGUGUGAAGAAUGUAUAUAGGUAAAGGGGAGCGCGGUCCAGUGGUUCCAGAGAAGGGACAGAACUCCUGUGUUCCAUCCCUAGCUCAACCACUGACUCGCUGUGUGGCCUUGGGCAAGUCACUUAACCUCUCUGUGCCUCAGUUUCCCCGUCUGUAAAAUGGGGAUAAUAAUACUGACCUACCUCACAGGGGUGUUGUGAGGCUUUAACUAAAUGUUUUGUAAAGUGUUUUUUGAGAUACAGAGGCAAAGGCACUAGGGAAGGGCAAAGUAUUUAUUUGGACUUCCGGAAGAUGAAAUGGUACCAUAAAUGCUGCUAUUCUGAGAGCCAUUUUAAACUGCACUGCUCCAACCACCCCCGCUUCUCAUCACCAGGACAGCAGGUCGAGAAAAUGUCUUUCCUUUCACUUGCUUCUGGGGUUUGUGAUUGUUCUAGACACAAUUCUUUUACCCUUGCUGUAUCUCCUUCCCUCACCCACUCGACUUGUUCCCUGUUCCGUUUAUGCGGAAAUGGCAGAAGUGCUUGAGAAAUGAGAAUGUAUAAGUGGAUUGGAAGUUUAUAGUCUGAAAUUUCAAUUUUACUUUGUACUGUACAUCUUUUUACUUUAGAAUUUGCAAUAAAGGGUUACGUCAAUCUUGUUUUCAACUCUCCUCUUGGACUGGCCUGUCAUUCUGUCAUUACUCGCACACCGGAGCCCCUUGGCCCAGGGGUGCCCACCCAGCAGGACCCCAAGGCAUCUGCUGUCCUUGCCGUGGUGGGAGCACAGUCUGAGUGAAGUUGGUGUAGGGGCUCACCCAGGCUCAGCUCCCUCAGUGG
rnacentral:lncRNA from 1 species